rnacentral:tRNA from 1 species
GCGGGCGUGAUGGAAUGGUAGACAUACCGGACUUAAAAUCCGGAGGCGAAAGCCGUGCGGGUUCGAGUCCCGCCGCCCGUACCA